rnacentral:rRNA from 1 species
CAGCCGCCGCGGUAAUACGGAGGGUGCAAGCGUUAAUCGGAAUUACUGGGCGUAAAGCGUGCGCAGGCGGUUUGUUAAGACAGAUGUGAAAUCCCCGGGCUCAACCUGGGAACUGCAUUUGUGACUGGCAAGCUAGAGUAUGGCAGAGGGGGGUGGAAUUCCGCGUGUAGCAGUGAAAUGCGUAGAUAUGCGGAGGAACACCGAUGGCGAAGGCAGCCCCCUGGGCCAAUACUGACGCUCAUGCACGAAAGCGUGGGGAGCAAACAGGAUUAGAUACCCCAGUAGUCCCUGUCUCUUAUAC